rnacentral:misc_RNA from 1 species
UAUUGCUAAAACUCACUCUCUCACCUACUCCUGUUUUCAGUCACAAGACCGGGAGUGUGGAACUGGUAGACACAGCUCUAGCUCUGGCUCAGGCCUACGCCAGCACUAGGACGUGAGGAGGCGGAAGCUUCAGCCGAGAGUUACCUGAAUGAGUGUCAAGCCAACUGUACAGCUGUCCACGGACCACAUCACACCAAGACCCUGGAGGUGAACGACGAGAUCGCCAGGCUGCUCAUCAGGACAGACAGACAAGAUGAAGCCAUGACAAUUCUCAAGUCCAGUAUUAACCCGAAGUCGGAAGUGUUCGGGGACUACUCGGAACAGGUGUCCGACACCUUCAAGAUGAUGGCGUCGGUCCACCUCUCUCAAGGAAACAUUGAGAAGGCACUCCGAUCUUACAAGAAGUGCCAUACUAUAGAAACACUUGUGCUGGGAAAGAAUCACCGCAAGACGAAAGACACAUUACGCACAAUGGAAAUGCUGAUGGCGAGUCCAGGAGUGUCGUCCAAGUUUGUUUUGAACAAGGAAGAUGAGUUACAAAAACGUCCUAGAUUCACAAGUGUUGUCAGUCGAGCUACACCACUAGGGGCAAAUAAGCCACAGUAGAUGUCUCCUGUGGCAUGUCAACUACCCCUCUUGUUACCAUGGUUACCUCUGGAAGCAGCUGAGGGAACCUGAAUGGUAGAACCAUUAACAUGGACACACAGCAGGCUAGCUAUUCUCGAAACGUUCGUAACCCUACAAACUUCUUAAGCCCAUUCUUAACACAUUGGCUACGUUCCAAGUUAAGAAUUCUUAAGGCUACAAACGUUUUGAGAAUAAGGGCCCAGAUCUAUUUGCAUGAUAAAAGCAUUAGGAAGUAUUUCUUAUUAUUGGGUCAGUUUGAUAGAUUUUUUAAAUAUACUGCAUUGAAAAGCGUGUCCGCUCAUACGAUUUUUAGCAAAACAGCAGCUGUAGAUCUUAUUAGAGAGUGAUUAUAAAACCCUGGAACUCAUUGGGUCAUUGCUUUGGAUUAUUUUUGUGCCUUUUUCAUGUUUAGAAUCAUGUGAAGAGUAAUCUAUUUUUUUUUUGUUCAGAUAAUUUUAUUCUGUUUGUUUUGAAGUAGUUCUUCAGUGUGAUGGCAGCACUGUUGUAGAAGCUGAGAAAGUAGUCUCUUGUAAUGCUCAAACGUGUUCCUGCAGUUUAUAUUACUUAUAAGUGUAAAUAUAUUCUAUUUAUUGUCAAGAUUCCAUCCACUUUCCUGAUUUUCCCCUUGGAUACCCACAAAAACAGCAAAACUUUUCAGACUUGUUUCAGGAAGGAGACUUGGAGUAAUAUUUGCUAAGUCCAGAUAGAAAUAUCAGCAGUAAAAAUGUUACUCGGCCUUUCAUGUGAAUCAUAGUGACGCGUUCUACAGUGGUUAUUUUCUGUUUCAGACAACAUUUACGUUCAGCUUUUUACAUUGCCUAUUAUUUAUGAAAAGUCUAUGCAUUCUGUGAUUUAUUAUGAAACAAUAAAAAUGAGAUAUUA